AAGGAUUUAAGUUAAAAAAACUAGUAACCUUCAAAGUUACAAUUAGGGGCUUCUCUAAGCCUUG
rnacentral:tRNA from 1 species